UACAGAGGUCUCAAGCGUUGUUCGGAUUCAUUGGGCGUAAAGGGCGCGUAGGCGGCCGAUCAAGUCGGAGGUGAAAUCCCUCGGCUCAACUGAGGAAUUGCCUUCGAUACUGUUCGGCUUGAGUCCUGGAGAGGGUAGCGGAAUUCCCGGUGUAGCGGUGAAAUGCGUAGAGAUCCGGAGGAACACCGAAGGCGAAGGCAGUGUCCUGGCGAGUGACUGACGCUGAGGUGCGAAAGCCAGGGGAGCGAACGGG
rnacentral:rRNA from 1 species